CACUAUCAUUAACUGAAUCCAUAGGUUAAUGAGGCGAACCGGGGGAACUGAAACAUCUAAGUACCCCGAGGAAAAGAAAUCAACCGAGAUUCCCCCAGUAGCGGCGAGCGAACGGGGAAGAGCCCAGAGCCUGAAUCAGUGUGUGUGUUAGUGGAAGCGUCUGGAAAGGCGCGCGAUACAGGGUGACAGCCCCGUACACAAAAACGCACAUGCUGUGAGCUCGAUGAGUAGGGCGGGACACGUGGUAUCCUGUCUGAAUAUGGGGGGACCAUCCUCCAAGGCUAAAUACUCCUGACUGACCGAUAGUGAACCAGUACCGUGAGGGAAAGGCGAAAAGAACCCCGGCGAGGGGAGUGAAAAAGAACCUGAAACCGUGUACGUACAAGCAGUGGGAGCACAGAGCAAUCUGUGUGACUGCGUACCUUUUGUAUAAUGGGUCAGCGACUUAUAUUCUGUAGCAAGGUUAACCGAAUAGGGGAGCCGAAGGGAAACCGAGUCUUAACUGGGCGUUAAGUUGCAGGGUAUAGACCCGAAACCCGGUGAUCUAGCCAUGGGCAGGUUGAAGGUUGGGUAACACUAACUGGAGGACCGAACCGACUAAUGUUGAAAAAUUAGCGGAUGACUUGUGGCUGGGGGUGAAAGGCCAAUCAAACCGGGAGAUAGCUGGUUCUCCCCGAAAGCUAUUUAGGUAGCGCCUCGUGAAUUCAUCUCCGGGGGUAGAGCACUGUUUCGGCAAGGGGGUCAUCCCGACUUACCAACCCGAUGCAAACUGCGAAUACCGGAGAAUGUUAUCACGGGAGACACACGGCGGGUGCUAACGUCCGUCGUGAAGAGGGAAACAACCCAGACCGCCAGCUAAGGUCCCAAAGUCAUGGUUAAGUGGGAAACGAUGUGGGAAGGCCCAGACAGCCAGGAUGUUGGCUUAGAAGCAGCCAUCAUUUAAAGAAAGCGUAAUAGCUCACUGGUCGAGUCGGCCUGCGCGGAAGAUGUAACGGGGCUAAACCAUGCACCGAAGCUGCGGCAGCGACACUAUGUGUUGUUGGGUAGGGGAGCGUUCUGUAAGCCUGUGAAGGUGUGCUGUGAGGCAUGCUGGAGGUAUCAGAAGUGCGAAUGCUGACAUAAGUAACGAUAAAGCGGGUGAAAAGCCCGCUCGCCGGAAGACUAAGGGUUCCUGUCCAACGUUAAUCGGGGCAGGGUGAGUCGACCCCUAAGGCGAGGCCGAAAGGCGUAGUCGAUGGGAAACAGGUUAAUAUUCCUGUACUUGGUGUUACUGCGAAGGGGGGACGGAGAAGGCUAUGUUGGCCGGGCGACGGUUGUCCCGGUUUAAGCGUGUAGGCUGGUUUUCCAGGCAAAUCCGGAAAAUCAAGGCUGAGGCGUGAUGACGAGGCACUACGGUGCUGAAGCAACAAAUGCCCUGCUUCCAGGAAAAGCCUCUAAGCAUCAGGUAACAUCAAAUCGUACCCCAAACCGACACAGGUGGUCAGGUAGAGAAUACCAAGGCGCUUGAGAGAACUCGGGUGAAGGAACUAGGCAAAAUGGUGCCGUAACUUCGGGAGAAGGCACGCUGAUAUGUAGGUGAAGUCCCUCGCGGAUGGAGCUGAAAUCAGUCGAAGAUACCAGCUGGCUGCAACUGUUUAUUAAAAACACAGCACUGUGCAAACACGAAAGUGGACGUAUACGGUGUGACGCCUGCCCGGUGCCGGAAGGUUAAUUGAUGGGGUCAGCGCAAGCGAAGCUCUUGAUCGAAGCCCCGGUAAACGGCGGCCGUAACUAUAACGGUCCUAAGGUAGCGAAAUUCCUUGUCGGGUAAGUUCCGACCUGCACGAAUGGCGUAAUGAUGGCCAGGCUGUCUCCACCCGAGACUCAGUGAAAUUGAACUCGCUGUGAAGAUGCAGUGUACCCGCGGCAAGACGGAAAGACCCCGUGAACCUUUACUAUAGCUUGACACUGAACAUUGAGCCUUGAUGUGUAGGAUAGGUGGGAGGCUUAGAAGUGUGGACGCCAGUCUGCAUGGAGCCGACCUUGAAAUACCACCCUUUAAUGUUUGAUGUUCUAACGU
rnacentral:rRNA from 1 species